UACGGAGGGUGCAAGCGUUAUCCGGAUUUACUGGGUUUAAAGGGUGCGCAGGCGGUUAUGUAAGACAGGUGUGAAAUCCCAGGGCUUAACCUUGGAACUGCAUUUGUGACUGCAUAGCUAGAGUACGGUAGAGGGGGAUGGAAUUCCGCGUGUAGCAGUGAAAUGCGUAGAUAUGCGGAGGAACACCGAUGGCGAAGGCAAUCCCCUGGACCUGUACUGACGCUCAUGCACGAAAGCGUGGGGAGCAAACAGG
rnacentral:rRNA from 1 species